AGAUCUUUUGAUAGUAUCACUUCUAUCAAUGCAAUGAAAGAACCAUCCCUUCUUCUAAUGAAUCAUAUCCCAUCUGCUAACUAGAACUCAACUCCGAGGGAAGUUAGAGCAAUUGCCUUUUUAUACUAUGCCUUGAGCCUGAAACUCUUCCUUCUAGUCUACCUACGUCAUUCUUUUGAAGUGAAGCAGAAAGCAGAUGGACACAAGUUCACUAAAAUAGCAGUUAGGCCCUUUCGAUAUGCCCCUACUAUAGCACUCGAGGAAGAAGAAGCAGACGAGUACGGUUUAUAUGGUUAUGCCGCAUCUCCAUCUCUAGGAGAAGCAGCUAGAUCGAUUCCUAAACUGCUUCAACCGAUAAGCUUUCCCAGCCUCCAUGCCCAUCAUAUUGUCUGCCAACCACACGAAACAAGAAUAGACGGAUUCCACUUCAACGCCAGGUGUCGCUAAAGACUUUUGCUAAAGACUAAAGACUAAGAGCCUGAUUGAUACAUAACAAGAAUCCCUUCUUGCACCGGGAUCAUCAGCAACGGAUCACGCAGGAGCAGGUUCGGUAUCAGUUAGUAAGAGACAGCUAUUCAACAAACAAUUAUCUGUAAGUGUAGUAAAGGCGCUUUUCUUUUUCCAGUCUUGUGGUUGGCCUUAUGGACCCACGCAACGGUACGAGGCGGAACGGGACGGGGUUCAAAUUCCAUUCAUUAGAGAAAGAAGAAAGGCUUUACCGGUGUGGGCGAGGUCAGUCAGUGAUACCAUAGCUCGGUGUAGUUCAUGAGGGACCACCGGCUCAGCUGCUUGACUGAGCUGCUUGAGAUCAUACCACUAGAUAAGGUCUUUCCAGGUGAAGCUCUUCAAUCAGAGUCACCUCGGAAAUAAAGAUAAUGUAGUGAAGCUCGUUCUGAACUGAAUUACGUUCAAGCGAUUCUGAAUCACUUGAAUGCUAUGCGAAAAAUCUCAUUUAUACAGACCAAUUCUCAGUCCUAGUGGAGACCAUACCAAGCAAAGGAAUUUCGGUAGGAGAAGGAAAAGCUAAAGGUAGGAGAACAAAUUCCAUCAACCUAUGAAACUGUGGAAUACAUCCUCUAGCGAGUGAAGUGAGGUCGGACAACCGCGAAGGGAGAUAUCCGUAGGCGUAUAGGUGUAUCCCAGCUCUAUUGCUUUCAGCUGAAGAUGGAGAGGUUGAUGACUCAGACUUAGGACGUGAAGCUACUACGGGAGAAAUUGGGUUUGGAAGAAAUCCGUUGAUAAAAGGGUGGACUGAAAGUAGAAGAGAGCUUAUGCUCGACUGUAUAAAAUACAGGUUUUCUCUUCCGGNN
rnacentral:lncRNA from 1 species